rfam:Microgenomates (Woesebacteria) bacterium GW2011_GWA1_43_12 TV66_C0001, whole genome shotgun sequence.
GGCGCCGUAGCCAAGUCUGGCAAGGCUCAGGUGCGCAGCACCUGGAUCCAAGGUUCAAAUCCUUGCGGCGUCU